AACGUAGGAGGCGAGCGUUAUCCGGAUUUACUGGGCGUAAAGCGUGUGUAGGCGGUACGGUAAGUUGGAUGUGAAAGCUCCUGGCUUAACUAGGAGAGGUCGUUCAAUACUGCCGAACUUGAGGGUAUCAGAGGAGAGUGGAAUUCCGCGUGUAGCAGUGAAAUGCGUAGAUAUGCGGAGGAACACCAAUGGCGAAGGCAAUCCCCUGGGCCUGCACUGACGCUCAUGCACGAAAGCGUGGGGAGCAAACAGGAUUAGAAACCCCUGUAGU
rnacentral:rRNA from 1 species